rnacentral:rRNA from 1 species
UACGAAGGAGGCGAGCGUUGUUCGGAUUUACUGGGCGUAAAGGGCGCGCAGGCGGUUCUGUUUGUCGAGUGUGAAAGCCCCCGGCUCAACCGGGGAACUGCGCUUGAAACUGUUAGGCUCGAGUCAGCUAGAGGUACACGGAACUUCCAGUGGAGCGGUGAAAUGUGUUGAUAUUGGAAGGAACACCGGAGGCGAAAGCGGUGUACUGGGGCUGGUCUGACGCUGAGGCACGAAAGCCAGGGGAGCGAACGGG